rnacentral:rRNA from 1 species
GUCCACGCCGUAAACGAUGGAUACUAGCUGUUGGGAGCGAUCUCAGUGGCUAAGCGAAAGUGAUAAGUAUCCCACCUGGGGAGUACGUUCGCAAGAAUGAAACUCAAAGGAAUUGACGGGGGCCCGCACAAGCGGUGGAGCAUGUGGUUUAAUUCGAUGAUACGCGAGGAACCUUACCAAGGCUUAAAUGUAGUUUGACCGGUUUGGAAACAGACUUUUCGCAAGACAAAUUACAAGGUGCUGCAUGGUUGUCGU